GAUGAACGCUAGCGAUAGGCUUAACACAUGCAAGUCGAGGGGCAGCAUGGUCUUAGCUUGCUAAGACUGAUGGCGACCGGCGCACGGGUGCGUAACGCGUAUGCAACUUGCCUCACAGAGGGGGAUAACCCGUCGAAAGACGGACUAAUACCGCGUACACUCUAUUUUGGGCAUCCAAGGUAGAGGAAAUGAACUUCGCUGUGAGAUAGGCAUGCGUCCCAUUAGCUAGUUGGUGAGGUAACGGCUCACCAAGGCGACGAUGGGUAGGGGAACUGAGAGGUUGAACCCCCACACUGGUACUGAGACACGGACCAGACUCCUACGGGAGGCAGCAGUGAGGAAUAUUGGGCAAUGGGCGAGGGCCUGAACCAGCCAAGUCGCGUGAAGGAUGACUGUCUUAUGGAUUGUAAACUUCUUUUGUAGGGGAAUAAAGAGGGGCACGUGUGCCCCAGUGAAUGUACCCGACGAAUAAGCAGCGGCUAACUCCGUG
rnacentral:rRNA from 1 species